AGGAUGGAGCUGAACCCCAAAGAUGCUGGCAGGGACACUCUGACUCAUUAAGACAGAACUGAGUGUCAGCAGAGAGAGAAGACACCGGCUUCCCAGGCCUCAUCCCAGAGGAAUUCCCAGCUGUGUUGCUCAAGGCAUCACCUGGCCAAAUGGAGAUCACCCUGGGAGUCAUGGAUGAGAAUGCCACCAACAUCUCCACUGGCUUCCUUUCCAUGCUUGACCCCCACGGAGCCCAGGCUGCUUCCUUCCCAUUUAACUUCAGCUAUGGCGACUAUGAUAUGCCCUUGGAUGAAGAUGAGGAUGUAACCAAUUCUCUGACUUUUUUUGCUGCCAAGAUUGUCAUUGGCAUGGCCCUGGUGGGCAUCAUGCUGGUCUGUGGCAUUGGCAACUUCAUCUUCAUUGCUGCCCUGGCCCGCUACAAAAAGCUUCGCAACCUCACCAACCUACUCAUUGCCAACCUGGCCAUCUCUGAUUUCCUGGUGGCCAUUGUCUGCUGCCCCUUUGAGAUGGACUACUACGUGGUGCGCCAGCUCUCCUGGGAGCAUGGCCACAUCCUGUGCGCCUCAGUCAACUACCUGCGUACUGUCUCUCUCUACGUCUCCACCAAUGCUUUGCUGGCUAUCGCCAUCGACAGAUACCUGGUCAUCGUCCACCCGCUGCGGCCCCGGAUGAAGUAUCAGACGGCCACGGGCUGGAUCGCCCUGGUGUGGGCGGUGUCCGUCCUCAUCGCCAUCCCCUCCGCCUACUUCACCACGGAAACGGUUCUCAUCAUCGUCAAGAACCAGAAGAAGAUCUUCUGCGGCCAGAUCUGGCCGGUGGACCAGCAGCUCUACUACAAGUCCUACUUCCUCUUCAUCCUCGGCCUGGAGUUCGUGGGCCCCGUGGCCGUCAUGACGCUGUGCUACGCCCGCAUCUCGCGGGAACUCUGGUUCAAGGCUGUCCCCGGUUUCCAGACGGAGCAGAUCCGGAAGCGGCUGCGCUGCCGCCGGAAGACGGUGCUGGUGCUCAUGGGCAUCCUCACCGCCUACGUGCUGUGCUGGGCCCCCUUCUACGGCUUCACCGUGGUGCGCGACUUCUUCCCCGCCGUGUUCGUGAAGGAGAAGCACUACCUCACGGCCUUCUACAUCGUCGAGUGCAUCGCCAUGAGCAACAGCAUGAUCAACACCCUGUGCUUCGUGACGGUCAAGAACAACACCGUCAAGUACCUCAAGAGGAUCGUGCAGCUGCACUGGAAGUCGUCCUCCAACGGCAGCAAGUCCAGCGCAGACCUCGAUCUCAAAACCACGGGGGUGCCUGCCACCGAAGAGGUGGACUGCAUCAGGCUGAAGUAACCCGAGGGCCUUUAAACGUGUAAACGGGCCUUUGGGACACUGACCCGUGUACUUCGAUGCACACCGUCAACCCCAAGAACUCUUGGUCUGCCACAGAGGGCCGAGUACAUGGACGACUAUGUGAGCAUGGUGUCCCAGGGGCUCAGAUUUUCUAACACUCGUGUGAUGAGACACCAUCACCAGUGGCUGACGUUCACUGAACGUCUCAUUUGUGCAAAGAGGAGGCAUUGGUGAAACCCGUAUAUGUUGAUGCCACUGAAUGGCCCCAAAGAAGUAGGGAUUAAACCAAGAAAACAUUUGAGCAUGGACAGCCUGGAGUAAGGCGGCUGCAGAGGGGACCUGAGUAGGCAGCUGGACUGUGGUACAUGCGUUUGUGGGGGUGAGGGUCUCUCUGGACAAUCUCGGCGACUCAUCAGACACUGAUGUAACCCAUUUCUACAACUAUUUUUAGGCUUGACUUCACUCCUGAUGUUUGUGCGGUUGGAGUAAGAAUACAGACAGCCUCCCAGUUCUUUCCUCAGCCCUUCUCUUCUCACUCCUGGUCCCCGCGCUCACUGUGAGGAGCCUUACAUGCAUGCCCACGGGACCGCAGUAUACAUGGCAAGUUCUAUCCAGAUCCUCUUGCCCCAUGUUGCCCCAUGGCGGCGCCUCAGGCUCAGGGCCCAUAUGUAGUGAAGCUCAUGAUUAUAAGGAUGGAUCCUGGGAAGAGGCUGCAGAGACCCCGGAGACUAUGGGGACAGGGAAUCAUGAGGUCUGGGUAUCUGGAGCAAGUCAAGAGGGGAACAGCUAGGCUCAGCAUGGGUAUGUCCCCUUGGAUCCAUGGCCUUCUCUCCCUCAAUGGGAGGGGUCCAGGCAGAGGACCCCUGAAAGUGUGGGGGGCUCAGAGAAGGGGUUCAGGGUCUCUUGGUCUUAGGGUGAUACUGCUUCCACCUCUCAGUUAUUCUGAUUUGGACCAGUUAGACUUCUCCUUACGUCCUUCUCAUGUCUCCAUGCUUGUGACGCAUAGACUGUUUGAAAGGAGACACACACCUCAUGAAUGUGGCUGUCAGCCAUUUUUUUCAUUCACACCAGCUUUCACCCUUACUGGUACGAUUUAAGGGCAAGAUGUCUUUGUCCUGGUGCCUGAAUCCCAUCAUCGGCAUUAUUCCUUUGGAUUAAAACUUGAUGCUCUUUUUAAAAUGGAGGCACUUUCUGGAGGCAUAACCCAUCACAUUUCCAUUGCUCAGUGCACAUGAAGUCAUGCAAUCCAGUGGCAGGUGAUGAAGCUCAGUGGUAGGGCCCUGGGUACCUAGGAAAGAAAGGGACAUACAAAUGGUGGUGGGGGGAGGGUCAGCUAACAAUGAGCUUCAGUGAUUCUACGGGCUCCCUGAGCGCUUGUCCCACUUUCCAAUCACCUCCUUAGUUCGGUGUUUUGAAUAUUGGAAUAUGGAGUUUUUGAACCAAAAGAUCUGAUCCAGCCUUGGCUUUGUCGCCUCU